GAUGAAGAACGUAGCGAAAUGCGAUACGUAAUGUGAAUUGCAGAUUUCAGUGAAUCAUCGAAUCUUUGAACGCACAUUGCGCCCCUUGGUAUUCCGAGGGGCAUGCCUGUUCGAGCGUCAUUACACCACUCAAGCACUGCUUGGUAUUGGGCACUCGUCCGUCGAAAGACGGGCGUGCCUCGAAGACCUCGGCGGGGUUUCUCCAACUUCGGGCGUAGUAGAGUUAAAUCAAAACGUCUUAUAAGCUUGGUGAGAUCUCAUUGCCGUUAAACCUUUUUUUUUCAGGUUGACCUCGGAUCAGGUAGGGAUACCCGCUGAACUUAAGCAUAUCAAUAAGCGGAGGA
rnacentral:misc_RNA from 1 species